AGUUUGAUCCUGGCUCAGAGUGAACGCUGGCGGUAGGCCUAACACAUGCAAGUCGAACGGCAGCACGAGAGAGCUUGCUCUCUUGGUGGCGAGUGGCGGACGGGUGAGGAAUGCAUCGGAAUCUACCUUGUCGUGGGGGAUAACGUAGGGAAACUUACGCUAAUACCGCAUACGACCUACGGGUGAAAGCGGAGGACCUUCGGGCUUCGCGCGACUAGAUGAGCCGAUGUCGGAUUAGCUUGUUGGCGGGGUAAAAGCCCACCAUGGCGACGAUCCGUAGCUGGUCUGAGAGGAUGAUCAGCCACACUGGAACUGAGACACGGUCCAGACUCCUACGGGAGGCAGCAGUGGGGAAUAUUGACAAUGGGCGCAAGCCUGAUCCAGCCAUACCGCGUGGGCGAAGAAGGCCUUCGGGUUGUAAAGCCCUUUUGUUGGGGAAGAAAAGCAGUCGGCUAAUACCUGGCUGUUCUGACGGUACCCAAAGAAUAAGCACCGGCUAACUUCGUGCCAGCAGCCGCGGUAAUACGAAGGGUGCAAGCGUUACUCGGAAUUACUGGGCGUAAAGCGUGCGUAGGUGGUUUGUUAAGUCUGAUGUGAAAGCCCUGGGCUCAACCUGGGAAUUGCAUUGGAUACUGGCAGGCUAGAGUGCGGUAGAGGAUGGCGGAAUUCCCGGUGUAGCAGUGAAAUGCGUAGAGAUCGGGAGGAACACCCGUGGC
rnacentral:rRNA from 1 species